rnacentral:rRNA from 1 species
CCUACGGGUGGCUGCAGUGGGGAAUAUUGGACAAUGGGGGCAACCCUGAUCCAGCCAUGCCGCGUGUGUGAAGAAGGCCCUCGGGUUGUAAAGCACUUUCAGUGAGGAAGAACGCCUGGUGGUUAAUACCCAUCAGGAAAGACAUCACUCACAGAAGAAGCACCGGCUAACUCCGUGCCAGCAGCCGCGGUAAUACGGAGGGUGCGAGCGUUAAUCGGAAUUACUGGGCGUAAAGCGCGCGUAGGUGGCUUGAUAAGCCGGUUGUGAAAGCCCCGGGCUCAACCUGGGAACGGCAUCCGGAACUGUCAAGCUAGAGUGCAGGAGAGGAAGGUAGAAUUCCCGGUGUAGCGGUGAAAUGCGUAGAGAUCGGGAGGAAUACCAGUGGCGAAGGCGGCCUUCUGGACUGACACUGACACUGAGGUGCGAAAGCGUGGGUAGCACACAGGAUUAGAUACCCGAGUAGUC